CCCUCACCUCCUCAGCCCAGCCAGGAAGGACACUCAGUCUUCCUCUGGCUUUCCCUGAGAAGAGUGAAGGCUGGAAUAAAAGCCACUGGCACUGAGGGAAGACUGCUGGGAAGGCCACCAGCCUUGAAUGUAGCUCUGCUGGAAAUCUCCCAAGAUGAGCACCUGGACAGCACAGAGAGACCAUCCAAGUGCUUACUGAAGAAUGUACACAUGGGCAGUGGAAGAGACAAUGAUUAAGGCAAGGGCUCAGAGCCCAGGUGGUCAGGCAGGUGAUAGCAGCUCUCCCUGGGGAGAAGUCCGUUCUUGCAGUGUAAUAAAAGCCAGAACAAAGACUGCCUCCUCUGUGCUGGCUGCGGACUCCUCACUUCAGGUCGGUAACUAUCCAUCUAGUUAUUUUCUCUCCUUUUUCCAACACAAUGAUUUCGCUUCCCCAUUUCUCUUCUCUUUCCAAUAAAGUGACUUGGUUACUCCUUUUGAA